rnacentral:rRNA from 1 species
GUAAGGAAUAUUGGUCAAUGGUGGAAACACUGAACCAGCCAUGCCGCGUGGAGGAAUAAGGUCCUACGGAUUGUAAACUCCUUUUGACGAGGAAGAAAAUGUUAGAUUUAUCUAAUUUUGACGGUACUCGUAGAAUAAGCACCGGCUAACUCCGUGCCAGCAGCCGCGGUAAUACGGAGGGUGCAAGCGUUAUCCGGAUUUACUGGGUUUAAAGGGUCCGCAGGUGGGGAGGUAAGUCAGUGGUGAAAUACCCGGGCUCAACUUGGGUGCUGCCAUUGAUACUGCUUUUCUUGAGUGUAGAUGAGGUGGGCGGAAUACAGCAUGUAGCGGUGAAAUGCGUAGAUAUGCUGUAGAACACCGAUUGCGAAGGCAGCUCACUAAACUACUACUGACACUCAGGGACGAAAGCGUGGGGAUCAAACAGGAUUAGAUACCCCGGUAGUCC